AGAUCAGUGUUGUGGUACUUGAGGUUUCCUUCUAACAUUGGUGGUCGUGGCCAGGUGGUCGUGGCCAGGUGGUCGUGGCCAGGUGGUCGUGGCCAGGUGGUCGUGGUCAGGUGGUCGUGGCUGCUGUGGAGACAGUCACUAGGUUAGAUCCGCACAAGAACAAGAACCUUCAGGUUUGUUCAAAGACUUGAACAAUAGCGAGUAACAAUGAAACAACUUGUGUAAGAAAGGUGUCAAGUUCAGGGUCCUCUCACAGCAUGGGGAUGGGGUGCAAAAUACACUUAUGGAAAUGGUCGCACCUGCUUCUCACAACUGAUGGUCCCUAGUUCGAUCCUGCGGCGGGUUGAGACAUUGGGUAUGCCCCUCUACACCUAUUGCCCCUGCUCACCCAGCAGUGAGUAGGUACUUGGGUGUUACCCGACUACUGUGGGUCGCAUCAUGCUGCAGAAGACCUAAGGAAUCCAAUGAAAAUCAUCUUCGCUGACUGACUGUCUUGGGUUACCCAACGUUACUAACCUUCAACGUUAAUAAUCCGAAUAAAGCAUCUCCCUCAACCUGGGUCUCAGCUUCAUUCUCAGUGGUAAAAAUAGUCUCUCCUCCUGGAGGGUUUGUUUUGGUAAUGGCGAGGGUUUAAACCACUUGACACACAUAGUAAACAUUUAGUUUGGUCGAUGUUGCCCUAAAAUGGGUUUGAUCAAAUGAAGUCCUCAUAUCUUUAAUCGAUUAUGUUGUUCUGUGUGAAAUUAUCAGCAUUCCUGGUGGAUGUGGGAUGAUUUUCUUACAAUAAUUAUAUUAAGAGGCACAUUCAGGGUACUUUAUAGUGAAGGGUGUUUAGGGAUUAGAGAAAGUGCAAAGGUUUGCAACAAGACUAGUCCCGGAGUUAAGGGGUAUAUUCUAAGAGGAGAAGUUAAAGAAAUCAACCUGACCAGAGUGGAGUACAGGAGAGAUAGUGGGGACAUGAUAACUAGAUACAAAAUACUAAGAGAAAUUGACAAAGUGGAUAGGGACAGAAUGUAUAGGGUAAAGUAAUACUCACGUAGGCUGGAAGUACGUAUAAUUACGGAUAAUGUGGGGACCGCCCUAACAGCCGUAACCUUGUCUCCUUGCUCACUCUCGUAACACUGACUGGCUGCCCACAGUACCCAUAUGUGAGGGGGUCUUUGAAUACUGCUGUGGUCAGCACAAUAUGAAUAGACAGUGACUCAGGCAGAGACGGUUGGUAGUGAGUCAACUACUGGUACACUGGUUACUGGUAACUGGUUACUACUACUGAGACACACACACACACACACACACACACACACACACACACACACACACAUAUGCACAUACAACAGGCCUAGUGUCUAAUCGACAUGUGCCUAAGACCAAAUGGUAACUA